rnacentral:rRNA from 1 species
UACAGGGGGGGGCAAGCGUUGUCCGGAAUCAUUGGGCGUAAAGAGCGUGUAGGCGGCUUGGUAAGUCCGCUGUGAAAGUCCAGGGCUCAACCCUGGAAUGCCGGUGGAAACUGUCAGGCUCGAGUCCGGAAGAGGCGAGUGGAAUUCCUGGUGUAGCGGUGAAAUGCGCAGAUAUCAGGAGGAACACCAAUGGCGAAGGCAGCUCGCUGGGACGGUACUGACGCUGAGACGCGGAAAGCGUGGGGGAGCAAACAGG